UACAGAGGGGGCAAGCGUUGUUCGGAAUUACUGGGCGUAAAGGGCGCGUAGGCGGCCCGCUAAGUCGAACGUGAAAUCCCCAGGCUCAACCUGGGAACUGCGUCCGAUACUGGCAGGCUUGAAUCCGGGAGAGGGAUGUGGAAUUCCAGGUGUAGCGGUGAAAUGACGUAGAUAUCUGGAGGAACACCGGUGGCGAAGGCGGCAUCCUGGACCGGUAUUGACGCUGAGGCGCGAAAGCUAGGGGAGCAAACGGGG
rnacentral:rRNA from 1 species